rnacentral:tRNA from 1 species
GUCGGUAUAGCUUAGUUGGUGAAGAGCAGCGUGUUGACGGUUCGCCCGAGCGCAUGGACGUGGGUUCGACUCCCGCUACUGACCCCA